rnacentral:ncRNA from 1 species
AACAGGGGGGCUGCUGUAGCGCGGCUGAGAUGAAGUACCGUCUGUACUCACUCCCUUUUAACCUGAUAUGGAUAAUGCCGGCGUAGGAAGUUUAGA